GAUGAACGCUGGCGGCGUGCCUAAUACAUGCAAGUCGAGCGAACGGACGAGAAGCUUGCUUCUCUGAUGUUAGCGGCGGACGGGUGAGUAACACGUGGAUAACCUACCUAUAAGACUGGGAUAACUUCGGGAAACCGGAGCUAAUACCGGAUAAUAUUUUGAACCGCAUGGUUCAAAAGUGAAAGACGGUCUUGCUGUCACUUAUAGAUGGAUCCGCGCUGCAUUAGCUAGUUGGUAAGGUAACGGCUUACCAAGGCAACGAUGCAUAGCCGACCUGAAGGGGUGGUCGGCCACACUGGCACUGAGACACGGUCCAGACUCCUACGGGAGGCAGCAGUAGGGAAUCUUCCGCAAUGGGCGAAAGCCUGACGGAGCAACGCCGCGUGAGUGAUGAAGGUCUUCGGAUCGUAAAACUCUGUUAUUAGGGAAGAACAUAUGUGUAAGUAACUGUGCACAUCUUGACGGUACCUAAUCAGAAAGCCACGGCUAACUACGUG
rnacentral:rRNA from 1 species